rnacentral:rRNA from 1 species
UACGUAUGUGGCAAGCGUUGUCCGGAUUUAUUGGGUUUAAAGGGUGCGUAGGUGGCCCUGUAAGUCAGUGGUGAAAUAUCUCAGCUUAACUGAGAGGGUGCCAUUGAUACUGCAGGGCUUGAGUACAGAUGAGGUAGGCGGAAUUGACGGUGUAGCGGUGAAAUGCAUAGAUAUCGUCAAGAACACCGAUAGCGAAGGCAGCUUACCAAGCUGUAACUGACACUGAGGCACGAAAGUGUGGGGAUCAAACAGG